AGAGUUUGAUCAUGGCUCAGGACGAACGCUGGCGGCGUGCCUAAUACAUGCAAGUUGAACGCUGAAGCUUUAACUGAUGCUUGCAUCGACCUAAGUUUUCAGAGUAGCGGACGGGUGAGUAACACGUGGGUAACCUGCCCAUCAGAGGGGGAUAACACUUGGAAACAGGUGCUAAUACCGCAUAAUUCCUUUUACCGCAUGGUAAAAGGCUGAAAGACGCUUCUGGUGUCACUGAUGGAUGRACCCGCGGUGCAUUAGCUAGUCGGUGGGGUAACGGCCUACCGAGGCAAUGAUGCAUAGCCGACCUGAGAGGGUGAUCGGCCACAUUGGGACUGAGACACGGCCCAAACUCCUACGGGAGGCAGCAGUAGGGAAUCUUCGGCAAUGGACGAAAGUCUGACCGAGCAACGCCGCGUGAGUGAAGAAGGUUUUCGGAUCGUAAAACUCUGUUGUUAGAGAAGAACAAGAGAAGUAGUAACUGGCUUCUCCUUGACGGUAUCUAACCAGAAAGCCACGGCUAACUACGUGCCAGCAGCCGCGGUAAUACGUAGGUGGCAAGCGUUGUCCGGAUUUAUUGGGCGUAAAGCGAGCGCAGGCGGUCUUUUAAGUCUGAUGUGAAAGCCCUCGGCUUAACCGAGGAGGGUCAUUGGAAACUGGGAGACUUGAGUGCAGAAGAGGAAAGUGGAACUCCAUGUGUAGCGGUGGAAUGCGUAGAUAUAUGGAAGAACACCAGUGGCGAAGGCGGCUUUCUGGUCUGUAACUGACGCUGAGGCUCGAAAGCGUGGGGAGCAAACAGGAUUAGAUACCCUGGUAGU
rnacentral:rRNA from 1 species